GACGAACGCUGGCGGCGUGCUUAACACAUGCAAGUCGAACGGAAAGGACCGGCUUUUGUGGUGUGCUCGAGUGGCGAACGGGUGAGUAACACGUGAGUAACCUGCCCUUGACUUUGGGAUAACUUCAGGAAACUGGGGCUAAUGCCGGAUAGGAGCUCCUGCUGCAUGGUGGGGGUUGGAAAGUUUCGGCGGUUGGGUAUGGAUUCGCGGCUUAUCAGCUUGUUGGUGGGGUAGUGGCUGACCAAGGCUUUGACGGGUAGCCGGCCUGAGAGGGUGACCGGCCACAUUGGGACUGAGCUACGGCCCAGACUCCUACGGGAGGAAGCAGUGGGGAAUAUUGCACAAUGGGCGGAAGCCUGAUGCAGCAACGCAGCGUGCGGGAUGACGGCCUUCGGGUUGUAAACCGCUUUCGCCUGUGAUGAAGCGUGAGUGACGGUAAUGGGUAAAGAAGCACCGGCUAACUACGUG
rnacentral:rRNA from 1 species